rnacentral:rRNA from 1 species
GAUGAACGCUGGCGGCGUGCCUAAUACAUGCAAGUCGAGCGAACGGACGAGAAGCUUGCUUCUCUGAUGUUAGCGGCGGACGGGUGAGUAACACGUGGAUAACCUACCUAUAAGACUGGGAUAACUUCGGGAAACCGGAGCUAAUACCGGAUAAUAUUUUGAACCGCAUGGUUCAAAAGUGAAAGACGGUCUUGCUGUCACUUAUAGAUGGAUCCGCGCUGCAUUAGCUAGUUGGUAAGGUAACGGCUUACCAAGGCAACGAUGCAUAGCCGACCUGAGAGGGUGAUCGGCCACACUGGAACUGAGACACGGUCCAGACUCCUACGGGAGGCAGCAGUAGGGAAUCUUCCGCAAUGGGCGAAAGCCUGACGGAGCAACGCCGCGGGAGUGAUGAAGGUCUUCGGAUCGUAAAACGCUGUUAUUAGGGAAGAACAUAUGUGUAAGUAACUGUGCACAUCUUGACGGUACCUAAUCAGAAAGCCACGGCUAACUACGU